UGCAGUCGAACGAUGAAGCCCUUCGGGGUGGAUUAGUGGCGAACGGGUGAGUAACACGUGGGCAAUCUGCCCUGCACUCUGGGACAAGCCCUGGAAACGGGGUCUAAUACCGGAUAUGACCGUCUUGGGCAUCCUUGACGGUGUAAAGCUCCGGCGGUGCAGGAUGAGCCCSCGGCCUAUCAGCUUGUUGGKGAGGKAAUGGCUCMCCAAGGCGACGACGGGUAGCCGGCCUGARAGGGCGACCGGCCMCMCUGGGACUGARACACGGCCCARACUCCUACGGGAGGCAGCAGUGGGGAAUAUUGCACAAUGGGCGAAAGCCUGAUGCAGCGACGCCGCGUGAGGGAUGACGGCCUUCGGGUUGUAAACCUCUUUCAGCAGGGAAGAAGCGAAAGUGACGGUACCUGCAGAAGAAGCGCCGGCUAACUACGUGCCAGCAGCCGCGGUAAUACGUAGGGCGCAAGCGUUGUCCGGAAUUAUUGGGCGUAAAGAGCUCGUAGGCGGCUUGUCACGUCGGUUGUGAAAGCCCGGGGCUUAACCCCGGGUCUGCAGUCGAUACGGGCAGGCUAGAGUUCGGUAGGGGAGAUCGGAAUUCCUGGUGUAGCGGUGAAAUGCGCAGAUAUCAGGAGGAACACCGGUGGCGAAGGCGGAUCUCUGGGCCGAUACUGACGCUGAGGAGCGAAAGCGUGGGGAGCGAACAGGAUUAGAUACCCUGGUAGUCCACGCCGUAAACGGUGGGCACUAGGUGUGGGCAACAUUCCACGUUGUCCGUGCCGCAGCUAACGCAUUAAGUGCCCCGCCUGGGGAGUACGGCCGCAAGGCUAAAACUC
rnacentral:rRNA from 1 species